rnacentral:misc_RNA from 1 species
CCGGUUAGUUUGAGAUACUGUAGAGUCACAUGGUCCACAGGAAAGAAACCCAUAGUGGCUCCAUACUCAGGAGACAUAUUAGCAAUUGUAGCCCUGUCUGCCAAUGACAACUCACCCAUACCCUCGCCGUAGAACUCCACGAACUUCCCAACAACGCCAUGCUUCCUCAACAUUUGGGUUACUGUUAACACCAGAUCAGUUGCUGUUACCCCAUUAUGUAACUUGCCAGAGAGCUUGAACCCCACAACACCAGGUAACACCAUACUCAUUGGCUGCCCAAGCAUUGUAGCCUCUGCCUCAAUACCUCCAACUCCCCAGCCGGCGACUCCUAGUCCAUCAAUCAUAGUGGUAUGGGAAUCAGUUCCAACAACACUAUCGGGGUACAAUAUACCAUCUGUGUUGAAAACAACUCGACCAAGAUAUUCAAGAUUAACCUGGUGAACAAUACCAGACCCUGGAGGAACAACGAGCAUAUUAUGGAAUGCUGUAGAUCCCCACUUAAGAAAAGCAAAUCUCUCUUUGUUCCUCUGAAAUUCAAAUUCCAUAUUUCUUUGCACUGCAUUUUCUGAUCUUGCCACAUCUACCUGCACCGAGUGGUCGAUCACAAGAUCUACAGGAACCAAUGGGUUAAUCUUGCUUGAAUCACUGCCCAGAUUGUUCAUAGCAUCUCGCAUGACAGCGAG